rnacentral:rRNA from 1 species
GACGAACGCUGGCGGCGCGCCUAACACAUGCAAGUCGAACGGAGUCAAGAGGAGCUUGCUUUUCUUGACUUAGUGGCGAACGGGUGAGUAACGCGUGAGUAACCUGCCCUGGAGUGGGGGACAACAGUUGGAAACGACUGCUAAUACCGCAUAAGCCCACGGAUCCGCUUGGAUCUGCGGGAAAAGGAUUUAUUCGCUUCAGGAUGGACUCGCGUCCAAUUAGCUAGUUGGUGAGGUAACGGCCCACCAAGGCGACGAUUGGUAGCCGGACUGAGAGGUUGAACGGCCACAUUGGGACUGAGACACGGCCCAGACUCCUACGGGAGGCAGCAGUGGGGGAUAUUGCACAAUGGGGGAAACCCUGAUGCAGCGACGCCGCGUGGAGGAAGAAGGUUUUCGGAUUGUAAACUCCUGUCGUGAGGGACGAUAAUGACGGUACCUAACAAGAAAGCACCGGCUAACUACGUG